GGAUAGCUCAGCUGGUUAGAACAUGGUGUUUACAACAGCAGUGUUGCAGGUUCAAUCCCCGUAAGGGACA